rnacentral:tRNA from 1 species
GGCUCGGUAGCUUAAAUGGUAAAGCGUUCGUCUAGCAUACAAGAAUCCUGGGUUCAAAUCCCUUGCUGCCA